rnacentral:rRNA from 1 species
GACGUAGGGCGCGAGCGUUGUCCGGAUUUAUUGGGCGUAAAGAGCUUGUAGGCGGUUUGUCGCGUCUGCUGUGAAAAUCCGGGGCUCAACCCCGGACUUGCAGUGGGUACGGGCAGACUGGAGUGUGGUAGGGGAGACUGGAAUUCCUGGUGUAGCGGUGGAAUGCGCAGAUAUCAGGAGGAACACCGAUGGCGAAGGCAGGUCUCUGGGCCACUACUGACGCUGAGAAGCGAAAGCAUGGGGAGCGAACAGG